UGUAUUCCCGCCAGGCCUGCGGCGUCCCCUGCCGGCCCGGGCCGCCGGCCCCGCGGCCGCUGCCCUCCGUCCGUCUCUCGGUACCGGCCGUCCUCCCGCCGCCCGACCUCUCGGCGGCGGCAGGCUCAGCUGACGAGCGGACCGAGCCGGCCGCCGGCGGUGACCCGGUGACCUCUAGACGGCCCGGGGCGACGGCAGGGGUCAAGGCCAAACGCAGCCCGGCGGCGCAGUACACGCACUACCCGGCCCGGUUUCAGAGCGAACAGUAUAAGGUGUGUCAGCCGUCGUCUGGCCAGAUCGUGCAGUUUCUGCGGGCGCUGCACGCCGCCCGCCGGGGAGAAUCCAACCAGCUGGCCACGCUCUGUGGCACCACGCGGCCCGUGGACGGCAUUCAGACCAACAUGAGGUUCUUCCGAUGAGACAUCGGUGACCGGCAUCCAGGCAAACCCGAGGUUCUUCGGAUGAGACUACGCCGCAACAACGUAACACCACGAGAUUGGACUACCGAGGCCCCAACAGAGCCCCCUGAUUAUGCUCAAUUGUGCUACUUAUGCCUAUUUGUGUUUGUACAUAUAUGUGAACAAUGAAGUUUGGCAAGAUGUGACGAAGAAUUAGGUAUAGUUAAUUAGUUAUGUGUCUGGUUGUCACAUUUUUUUUUUUGUCGAACGCAAAUGAUCAUUUUAAUGAAGCUGACAUCGAUAGAUGCUCGUAUGUGUAGAGAAAAGGUGGAAGUCGACCCUGCUUCAGUAUCAAGUUGAGUCAUGAGUGCGUUUUUUUACGAAAGUUUUGUAAUUUGUUGGUACUUUCUGUUCUGUAAGAGGCUGGUAAGCAAAUAGUUCGAGCUCAUAAAUUCCAAGUUAGGAGUCAACAAAAAGAAGAAUUGAGAUUCCUGUCACAUUGUCAUGGUAGAUGCUACUAUAUCUAUCAUCUGUUUAACUAUUUAUUGUAUUGUGUUAUAUUGUAUUGUACAUUUAAGAGCAAUCCAUAGCGAUAGCGAUCCAUUUAUCUAUUUAUUUAUACGCUUUUCAUAUAAUCGCAGGCCUUUAUAAGACUAUUUUC